GUGUGUGUUUGUCAUGGUGUGUGUCUGUCUCUGUCAUGUAAUGUGUGUCUGUGUCACGGUGUGUGUGUGUGUGUCUGUGUCACGAUCUCUCUGUGUCGUGGUGUGUGUCUGUGUGUCAUGGUGUGUCUGUCUGUGUCGUGUGUGUCUGUGUCAUGGUCUGUGUUAUGGUGUGUGUGUCAAGUUGUGUGUGUCUUUUUUAAGGUGUGUCUGUCAUGGUAUGUGUGUG